CCUGGCUCAGAUUGAACGCUGGCGGCAGGCCUAACACAUGCAAGUCGAGCGGAUGAAAGGAGCUUGCUCCUGGAUUCAGCGGCGGACGGGUGAGUAAUGCCUAGGAAUCUGCCUGGUAGUGGGGGACAACGUUUCGAAAGGAACGCUAAUACCGCAUACGUCCUACGGGAGAAAGCAGGGGACCUUCGGGCCUUGCGCUAUCAGAUGAGCCUAGGUCGGAUUAGCUAGUUGGUGAGGUAAUGGCUCACCAAGGCGACGAUCCGUAACUGGUCUGAGAGGAUGAUCAGUCACACUGGAACUGAGACACGGUCCAGACUCCUACGGGAGGCAGCAGUGGGGAAUAUUGGACAAUGGGCGAAAGCCUGAUCCAGCCAUGCCGCGUGUGUGAAGAAGGUCUUCGGAUUGUAAAGCACUUUAAGUUGGGAGGAAGGGUUGUAGAUUAAUACUCUGCAAUUUUGACGUUACCGACAGAAUAAGCACCGGCUAACUCUGUGCCAGCAGCCGCGGUAAUACAGAGGGUGCAAGCGUUAAUCGGAAUUACUGGGCGUAAAGCGCGCGUAGGUGGUUUGUUAAGUUGGAUGUGAAAUCCCCGGGCUCAACCUGGGAACUGCAUCCAAAACUGGCAAGCUAGAGUAUGGUAGAGGGUGGUGGAAUUUCCUGUGUAGCGGUGAAAUGCGUAGAUAUAGGAAGGAACACCAGUGGCGAAGGCGACCAC
rnacentral:rRNA from 1 species